CCUGCAACAUUGUAAUAUGAGAUGUUGCCUGCAACAUUCUUAAUGAAAUUUGAUGCGAGGGAUAUUAUGUUGGGGAGAGAAAUAGGUCUAUUGGGACUUCGGAUAAUCGUGAUAAUAAAUUCUUUGUAAUAUGAGUUGCUGUCGAUCACAUUCUUGAUUGGAUUCUCUCUCUCUCUCUCUCUCUCUCUCUCUCUCUCUCUCUCUCUCUCUCUCUCUCUCUCUCUCUCUCUCUCAACUCACAUUUUUUACUGCAUCUUGUUUUCCAAAUUGAAUAUUCUUUAAGCUUAAAGGUUGAGUGGACCUCUUUUCAUGUCCUUAUGCUUUUGCUUUUAUUUAACAUCACAUGCAUUCCCGAUUUGUUGUCUUUCAUGUACUUGAGAUUUUACAUCUUUAUUUUGUUUGUUUUAUCUAUGCAAAUUUAUGUGUUGUUGAACUUACUGUUCUUGACCCUUUGGCAGGAGAAAGAGUUUAAAGUUGCAGUUCUCCUUAUUUUUGACAAUAAGCAGGAAGUAAAAAAUGUAUGAUAGGAGAUUUGGAGUUCGCUAGAAAAGCUCUGCCUGUAUGAUCAAAGAACACGAAUUCUGGAAUUCAGGACAAGGAACUUGCUUCUAUGAUCAAGAGUCUUUCCGAGAAACAACAUUUUACCGCAAAAUGGCUUCAACUGCCGAGAUUGGAUGGGAUUUUAGUACAAGAUGGAUGAGGAGCCAUAUAUGUAGGAGUGGACUGAGCAAUUGGAAAGCAGUGACCGAUUUAUGUAGGAGCCAUAUAUGUAGCAGCUGCAUAUGUGCAUAUUUUUGGAACAAGUAUAUAUUGUAUCUACUUUUGUUGUUUAUCAUUGUUAGUUAAAAUGCAGCAGUCAUCAAGCUGCUUUCUUC